CUCGCGUUGAUUCCAGAAAGGCCAAACAGAGGACAUUCUCGAUCGGUGUUUACGUGGCCCCACUUGUGGCACUUAAUGCAUCUCACGUUCCGCACCUGGAUGCCAAACGGCUGGUCUCUGAUAUUCAUGUCAUCCUUAGCAUACUUUUCUCGAGGGGCGACUUUUUGCCAUUCAAAUUUGUAUUCAGUCUCUCCUUCUUGCUCUUUAGCUUCCUCUUUCUUUGCUCCAGGUGGGGCCUCGUACAUGAAGUUAAGGCCAUUCUUCACACGCUCAUCUCCCAUAAGCAACCUGUUAUCAUAGGACUCCUGCUCUUUAAGAUACUGUUGCAUUAAUUCUUCUUGUUUCUUCUUAUCAUAGGAUAUUUUCUGUUCCGCCA
rnacentral:lncRNA from 1 species